rnacentral:lncRNA from 1 species
GUCAAGGUCAGAUGAACCAUGCCAGGCAGACAUGUACAGCUAACAAUGCUUCCAUACAACAAAUAUAGUUGACCUAUUACUUAUAGUUUAAGAAAAAUAGACCAAACACAAAAACUUAACACUGUCCAAUGAACCGUGCAAUUGAGGUCAUGGUCAAAUAAAACCUGCGGGACUGACAUAUAGAUCAUAAUAUAUUUCCAUACACCAAAUAUAGUUGACCUUUGGCAUAUAAUAUUAGAUAAAAAGAUCAAAACUUAAAAACUUAACUUUGACCACUGAACCAUGAAAAUGAGGUCAAGAUUAGAUGACAUCUGCCCGCUAGACAUGUACACCUUACAAUCAUUCCAUACAACAAAUAUAGUAGACCUAUUGCAUAAAGUAUGAGAAAAACAGACCAAAACACAAAAACUUAAC